rnacentral:rRNA from 1 species
UGGGGAAUCUUGGACAAUGGGGGCAACCCUGAUCCAGCGACGCCGCGUGGGUGAUGAAGGCCUUAGGGUCGUAAAGCACUUUCGCUGGGGAAGAUAAUGACUGUACCCAGUAAAGAAGUCCCGGCUAACUCCGUGCCAGCAGCCGCGGUAAUACGGAGGGGACUAGCGUUGUUCGGAAUUACUGGGCGUAAAGCGCGCGUAGGCGGACUAUUAAGUCAGGGGUGAAAUCCCGGGGCUCAACCCCGGAACUGCCCUUGAUACUGGUAGUCUUGAGUUCGAGAGAGGUGAGUGGAAUUCCGAGUGUAGAGGUGAAAUUCGUAGAUAUUCGGAGGAACACCAGUGGCGAAGGCGGCUCACUGGCUCGAUACUGACGCUGAGGUGCGAAAGCGUGGGGAGCAAACAGGAUUAGAUACCCGUGUAGUCC